rnacentral:rRNA from 1 species
AUUGAACGCUGGCGGCAUGCCUUACACAUGCAAGUCGAACGGCAGCAUGAUCUCGCUUGCUAGAUUGAUGGCGAGUGGCGAACGGGUGAGUAAUACAUCGGAACGUGCCCUGUAGCUGGGGAUAACUAGUCGAAAGAUUAGCUAAUACCGCAUACGACCUGAGGGUGAAAGUGGGGGACCGCAAGGCCUCAUGCUAUAGGAGCGGCCGAUGUCUGAUUAGCUAGUUGGUGAGGUAAAGGCUCACCAAGGCGACGAUCAGUAGCUGGUCUGAGAGGACGAUCAGCCACACUGGAACUGAGACACGGCCCAGACUCCUACGGGAGGCAGCAGUGGGGAAUUUUGGACAAUGGGCGAAAGCCUGAUCCAGCAAUGCCGCGUGUGUGAAGAAGGCCUUCGGGUUGUAAAGCACUUUUGUCCGGAAAGAAAUGGCUCUGGUUAAUACCUGGGGUCGAUGACGGUACCGGAAGAAUAAGGACCGGCUAACUACGUG